rnacentral:lncRNA from 1 species
GUUUUGAGAUAGGGUAUAAUUUGCCCAGGCUGGCCAGGGAGCUAAGCCACCUGUUCUAACAAGACCUCAUGGGCUGAGGUAUCCCCGCAACUUGCUCUUCCCUGGUCACUUGGCUGGAAAUGGCACCAUCUGGCCCUGUGAGGCCCAUGACCACACAGGAGUGGUUCAGAUUACAUCUGGGACCCUGAUGAGGUCCUCCCUUUCCCCUCUUCUCUGCAAGGCGGUGGCUGCAGGGUUGAAUACCUGGCACCGCCAAACCGAAGUCACUUCCACCUUCAUCGCUGUGGAUCCUCCUGCCUCAGCCUCAGCCUCUGAGUAGCUGGGAUUACAGCUGUGCCACUGUGCCUAGUAGCCUU